UUCGCUGGGCGGCGGCGUGCGCGGGGCCCGGCGCCAUGGGCCCGGUGCUGAAGCUCAGCAGCGAGGUUGUGAAGAUCAGA